GCCUGGGUGGCUCAGUCGGUUGAGCAUCUGACUUUAGCUCAGGUCAUAAUCUCACGGAUCAUGGGUUCCAGCCCCACAUCCGGCA
rnacentral:tRNA from 1 species